rnacentral:rRNA from 1 species
GAUGAACGCUGGCGGCGUGCCUAAUACAUGCGAGUCGAGCGAACGGACGAGAAGCUUGCUUCUCUGAUGUUAGCGGCGGACGGGUGAGUAACACGUGGAUAACCUACCUAUAAGACUGGGAUAACUUCGGGAAACCGUAGCUAAUACCGGAUAAUAUUUUGAACCGCAUGGUUCAAAAGUGAAAGACGGUCUUGCUGCCACUUAUAGAUGGAUCCGCGCUGCAUUAGCUAGUUGGUAAGGUAACGGCUUACCAAGGCAACGAUGCAUAGCCGACCUGAGAGGGUGAUCGGCCACACUGGAACUGAGACACGGUCCAGACUCCUACGGGAGGCAGCAGUAGGGAAUCUUCCGCAAUGGGCGAAAGCCUGACGGAGCAACGCCGCGUGAGUGAUGAAGGUCUUCGGAUCGUAAAACUCUGUUAUUAGGGAAGAACAUAUGUGUAAGUAACUGUGCACAUCUUGACGGUACCUAAUCAGAAAGCCACGGCUAACUACGUG